GUAUGUAUAUAUUGUUUCCACUGUGAAAAGAAGAAAAAAAAUUGAAUUGCGUACGUUGGGAUCUAUUAAAAAAUUUAAUUAAUAACAAAAGCCCAUGUAGUGGUUUUUAUGAUUAUAUAUUUUCUUUUUAUUAAUUGUCACUGGGCAUGAAUGAGAUCGUUGCGACAUGUUCCUCUAUUAUCAUUAAUAUUACCGGUGUGAUAAAUAUUUUUUAACAAACUAGUUUUGCUACAACAGAUGCAAUCGAAAUAGCACUAACCAAAUUAUUUUAAGUCAUUUAGUUUUAAAAUAAUGCGAAUAGUUUCCUGUAAAAUAACGAAAUCUCCACACUAGAAUUGAUUACCCUUUAUGGUUUAAACAAUUCAUAAUAUUCACUAUAAGUUGUCGAAUAUUUUUUCGUCUUUCACUUCAUACAUCUAAUUCCUCGAGAGUUCGUGAUAAACGAUUAUUAUCGAUGCGCCUUCGUUGACUGCGUCGCACUGCAUCGGCCCGCCGAUAGGGUUCGCUCUUCAGCCCGAGCAGUAUGUCCUCUAGAGCACCGUUAUAGACCUCAUCCUGAUGCAGUAGUUUUUUCUCCCGAACAGAAUUCGCUUUGCUCUUCAGCUCGUUAAUGACAGCGUCCUGUAAUGAGUAGCCACAACCGGGCAUCUGUUAUCAAUUCAGUGCAAUAUGGUAAACAUUUUGGAUAAGCGGCGUAUCACAUUCAAACGAAAGCAGCAAAGAAAAGGAAAAUAAACAUCACCACAGUGAACCAGUAAGCGUAUGAUAUUUAGGAUGCAUGAAAAUAGGUGAAAUGUUAAAUAAAAAUUUUGUUAGUUUGGACCGUCACCAGAAAUACAUAGUAUAUAUAAUACAUAUGUAUGUACAUUUCAACAUUAUUUAAUAUAAAUUAAAGUCAAUUGAUACAUUAAAGAAGCUUAUUAAAAUA